rnacentral:rRNA from 1 species
AUUGAACGCUGGCGGCAUGCUUUACACAUGCAAGUCGAACGGUAACAGGGAGCUUGCUCCGCUGACGAGUGGCGAACGGGUGAGUAAUGCGUCGGAACGUGCCGAGUAGUGGGGGAUAACGCAUCGAAAGGUGUGCUAAUACCGCAUACGUACUGAGGUAGAAAGUGGGGGACCUUCGGGCCUCACGCUAUUCGAGCGGCCGACGUCUGAUUAGCUAGUUUGUGAGGUAAAGGCCCACCAAGGCGACGAUCAGUAGCGGGUCUGAGAGGAUGAUCCGCCACACUGGGACUGCUACACGGCCCAGGCUCCGACGGGAGGCAGCAGUGGGGAAUGUUGGACAAUGGGCGCAAGCCUGAUCCAGCCAUGCCGCGUGUCUGAAGAAGGCCUUCGGGUUGUAAAGGACUUUUGUCCGGGAGCAAAUGCUGGUGGCUAACAUCCACCGGAGCUGAGAGUACCGGAAGAAUAAGCACCGGCUAACUACGUGCCAGCCGCCGCGGUAACAC